ACCUCGUAGAUGAUAUCCAUUGUC
rnacentral:siRNA from 1 species